UCCCUCCCAAAGCUGAGAGCUUGGUUAAAGAUGGCGGACUUUUCUUUAUGGAGGAGAACCAUACGUAUUAGGAAUAGAAAUGCAGUUUCAAUUCCGUUCUAAAGCCUGUACAUCAGCAUCUAAAUGUCAUUUAUUAAAGCUCAGAGGAAACAAAU
ensembl:misc_RNA 7SK 7SK RNA